rnacentral:rRNA from 1 species
UACGUAGGGGGCAAGCGUUGUCCGGAUUUAUUGGGCGUAAAGAGCUCGUAGGCGGUUCCGUAAGUCGUGAAGUCAAAUCUCUGGGCUCAACCCAGAAUCGCUUCCGAUACUGCGGUGACUGGAGUCCGGUAGGGGAGUGUGGAAUUCCUGGUGUAGCGGUGAAAUGCGCAGAUAUCAGGAAGAACACCCGUGGCGAAGGCGGUUCUCUGGGACGGUACUGACGCUGAGACGCGAAAGCGUGGGGAGCGAACAGG